rnacentral:rRNA from 1 species
UUGUCUCCAAGAUUUAGCCAUGCAUGUCUCAGUACAAGCCGAAUUAAGGUGAAACCGCGAAAGGCUCAUUAAAUCAGUUAUGGUUCCUUAGAUCGUACCCACAUUUACUUGGAUAACUGUGGUAAUUCUAGAGCUAAUACAUGCAAACAGAGCUCCGACCGGAGACGGAAGGAGCGCUUUUAUUAGAUCAAAACCAAUCGGCGGCGGUCGCCUCGGCGGCCGUCGUCGUUCGCCCUGGCGAAUCUGAAUAACUUUACGCCGAUCGCACGGUCUCGCACCGGCGACGCAUCUUUCAAAUGUCUGCCUUAUCAACUGUCGAUGGUAGGUUCCGUGCCUACCAUGGUCGUAACGGGUAACGGGGAAUCAGGGUUCGAUUCCGGAGAGGGAGCCUGAGAAACGGCUACCACAUCCAAGGAAGGCAGCAGGCGCGCAAAUUACCCACUCCCGGCACGGGGAGGUAGUGACGAAAAAUAACGAUACGGGACUCAUCCGAGGCCCCGUAAUCGGAAUGAGCACACUCUAAACCCUUUAACGAGGAUCAAUUGGAGGGCAAGUCUGGUGCCAGCAGCCGCGGUAAUUCCAGCUCCAAUAGCGUAUAUUAAAGUUGUUGCGGUUAAAAAGCUCGUAGUCGAAUCUGUGUCCCGCGCCGCCGGUUCAUCGCUCGCGGUGUUUAACUGGCGUGUUUACGCGGGACGUCCUGCCGGUGGGCUUAGCCCGCGAGGGCGGCCCAACUUGCGAAUCCCGCCGCGGUGCUCUUCGCUGAGUGUCGAGGCGGGCCGGCACGUUUACUUUGAACAAAUUAGAGUGCUUAAAGCAGGCUAAAACUUCGCCUGAAUACCGUGUGCAUGGAAUAAUGGAAUAGGACCUCGGUUCUAUUUUGUUGGUUUUCGGAACACCGAGGUAAUGAUUAAUAGGAACGGAUGGGGGCAUUCGUAUUGCGACGUUAGAGGUGAAAU